rnacentral:rRNA from 1 species
AGUGAACGCUGGCGGUAGGCCUAACACAUGCAAGUCGAACGGCAGCACAGUAAGAGCUUGCUCUUGCGGGUGGCGAGUGGCGGACGGGUGAGGAAUACAUCGGAAUCUACUUUUUCGUGGGGGAUAACGUAGGGAAACUUACGCUAAUACCGCAUACGACCUACGGGUGAAAGCAGGGGAUCUUCAGACCUUGCGCGAUUGAAUGAGCCGAUGUCGGAUUAGCUAGUUGGCGGGGUAAAGGCCCACCAAGGCGACGAUCCGUAGCUGGUCUGAGAGGAUGAUCAGCCACACUGGAACUGAGACACGGUCCAGACUCCUACGGGAGGCAGCAGUGGGGAAUAUUGGACAAUGGGCGCAAGCCUGAUCCAGCCAUACCGCGUGGGUGAAGAAGGCCUUCGGGUUGUAAAGCCCUUUUGUUGGGAAAGAAAAGCAGCAGGUUAAUACCCCGCUGUUCUGACGGUACCCAAAGAAUAAGCACCGGCUAACUUCGUG